UACGUAGGGUGCGAGCGUUGUCCGGAAUUAUUGGGCGUAAAGAGCUCGUAGGCGGUUUGUCGCGUCUGCUGUGAAAACCCGAGGCUUAACCUCGGGCCUGCGGUGGAUGCGGGCGGACUAGAGGUAGGUAGGGGAGAAUGGAAUUCCCGGUGUAGCGGUGAAAUGCGCAGAUAUCGGGAGGAACACCGGUGGCGAAGGCGGUUCUCUGGGCCUUACCUGACGCUGAGGAGCGAAAGCGUGGGGAGCGAACAGG
rnacentral:rRNA from 1 species